rnacentral:misc_RNA from 1 species
GGAACAUCCAUUACUUUGAUUGUAAUAGUAGCCGGAUGAGCUGUCAUACUCCCAUUCUUCUGAUACAGCAGAUCCCUUGGUAGUCGCUUGACCAUUAUCAUGAGUAGCCAGGGCCUGUAUAUUGGUAGUUCUGGCUUCUUUUACUCGAGCCAUGUCCUUAUCAUAGCUGCGUUGAGCUUUCGCUUCAAUUUGCUCCAGAGCACGGGCUGCUUCUUUUAACUCUUUAUCUUUUGUAGCUUUCUCUUGUCGCAUUGUGUUAAGCCUAUUGCCCACACUUUCCUUGUGGCGCGUACCAAGUUCAUGGUUCCUAAUGCUCGUAGGAUUGUUCGAUAUGAAGAUUUUGCAGAAAUCACACCAUUUAUUUCCUUGGCUAACCCAAAACUCAGUCAUGGCUGCAACAGAUACACGAAUGGAUUGAAUGAAAGGAGAAGACGGCGAUUCUCAAGCUCAAAUCUGUUUCCUAUUCAAAAUCAACGGCCUUUUCUUCUAA